rnacentral:rRNA from 1 species
AUACGGAGGAUCCGAGCGUUAUCCGGAUUUAUUGGGUUUAAAGGGAGCGUAGGCGGGCGCUUAAGUCAGCUGUGAAAGUUUGGGGCUCAACCUUAAAAUUGCAGUUGAUACUGGGUGCCUUGAGUGCAGUAUAGGCAGGCGGAAUUUGUGGGGUAGCGGUGAAAUGCUUAGAUAUCACGAAGAACUCCUAUUGCGAAGGCAGCUUGCUGGAGUGUAACUGACGCUGAUGCUCGAAAGUGUGGGUAUCAAACAGGAUUAGAUACCCUGGUAGUCCACACAGUAAACGAUGAAUACUCGCUGUUUGCGAUAUACUGCAAGCGGCCAAGCGAAAGCGUUAAGUAUUCCACCUGGGGUGUACGCCGGCAACGGUGAAACUCAAAGGAAUUGACGGGG